UACGGGGGGGCAAGCGUUGUUCGGAAUUACUGGGCGUAAAGGGCUCGUAGGUGGCCAACUAAGUCGGACGUGAAAUCCCCGGGCUUAACCUGGGAACUGCAGUCGAGACUGUCUAGCUAGAGUAUGGGAGAGGGAUGCGGAAUUCCAGGUGUAGCGGUGAAAUGCGUAGAUAUCUGGAGGAACACCGGUGGCGAAGGCGGCAUCCUGGACCGACACUGACGCUGAGGAGCGAAAGCCAGGGGAGCAAAGCGGG
rnacentral:rRNA from 1 species